AAAAAUUGGCGUAAUCUUUCAUGUAUCUGGUUUCAUAAUGUGGAGAACUCAAUGGACUCGUACAACUGGAGUUAAAUUUAUCACACUUUUUUGAUAAUUUGCACUACAUCUUCAUCCUCAAGUUCAUGUUCCUUGCCAACUCUCUGAGGUUUGUGUUUCGCACUUGAUCCCCAUACCAGAGCAUAUUUAAAUUGUUUAACCAUAUCCUUAUGGAUUCGGUUGCAAAAAUCCUCAACUGUCCGCCUUUUAGAUGACAAAAUCACAGGAUCUUCAUAGUCUGGAUUCAGUCCUUUUGGUUUUGUAUAUAUGCGAGUCAAAUCUAGAUAUUCCCAUAUCUUCUCCAGCAAACCAUCAAGGUUCCACUCCAGGUGAGCACUGAUUGGGCAGUAGUGAGGAAGUUUGUCCAAAAUCUCCAACUCUUCAAGAGUAAUUUGAUCAAUCUUGUUUAGUACGUAGAUGCAGGGCAUAUAUAUCCUGCUGCCUUCAAUGACAUCUAUAAGGUCAUCUGCAGUUGCAUCGUACUUCAGAGUAAUAUCAGCAUUAUGAAUUCUGUAUUCACUACAUAUCGCCUUUACAGUUUCAAGAUCAAGGUGUGUGUUGGCAACUGUUGAGACGAAAUUAAUUCCACCCUUGUCUUUCUUCCUGAAUGUCAGAUUAGGUGGCUCCUUGUUUAAUCUUAUGCCAAAUCCCUCAAGUUCUUUCUCUAUCAGACGCUUGUGAGUGAUUGGCUUUAUUGCAUCAAGAACAAUUAAAAUACAAUUGCAUGUCCUAGCAGUACUGAUAACCUGCCUGCCUCGCCCCUUCCCAUCCUUAGCACGCACCCUCAAUGAUACCAGGAAGAUCAGAUCUAACAACUGAAUUUUAGCUCCUCUAUAUAUGAUAACGCCUGGGAUGCAAGUCAAGGUGGUAAAUUCAUAGGAAGCAACCUCUGAAAAUGUCCCAGUUAAUUUAUUUAGCAGCGUUGAUUUCCCAACUGAAGGAAAGCCUACUAAACCGACUCUGGCAUCUCCACUUUUAGUAACAUCAAAACCCUGACCAGCACCACCACCUCCUUUUGAUGUAGGCUCAAGGAGUUCUCUACGUAGCUUUGCAAGUUUAGCCUUGAGCAAACCCAAAUGAUGGGCUGUAGCCUUGUUCUUUUGGGUCCUCGCCAUCUCAUCUUCAAUGUCCUUGAUUUUUUGCAUCACAGUCGCCAUUAUUGCAGCUUAGAAACUUAGGAACGGUGAGAAAGAGUAAGCGGUGGCCUGUGAUUAAUGGAAGUGGAGGUUUCUUUGAGGAAGUUCAG
rnacentral:misc_RNA from 1 species